rnacentral:lncRNA from 1 species
CAGACAGAGAUAAGAAAAGCUAAUCCUCCACAUUCAGAGAUGGCAAACUCCACAGAAGCACAGAAGCCCCAAAAUACCAAGAAAAAUAAGAAGAAAGGGGCGACUUUGGACACAUUCUAUGGAGCCAAAAUACAAAAUACAGAAGAGAUAGAUGAUAUACAAGAAAAUGCUCCAAAACCUUCCAAAGGAAAUGGAAACUCUCCACAAACCUAUGAAGAAUUUGAAUCAGAAAUGACCAAAAAGAUGGAAGCCUUCUGGGAGGAAAAGUUGGAAAUAAUGCAAAAGAAAUUCACGCAUCUACAAAACCGGUAUGAUGAAACUGAAAAGGAAAACCAGGCUUUAAAGGCCAGAAUCAGGCAGCUGGAAGACAACAAUCGUGUAAAAGAGCAAGAAUUAAUAAAGCAAAGCCAAAAUACCAAGAAAUUAGAAGAGAACAUAAAAUAUCUCACCGACAAGAUGACAGAUCUGGAAAAUAGAGGGAGAAGAGAUAAUUUAAGAAUAAUUGGACUCCCAGAAAAGUCAGAAAUAAACACCAAACUGGACAUGGUGAUACAAGAUAUAAUCAAAGAAAAUUGCCCAGAGAUUCUAGAACAAGGGGGCAAUACAGCCACUGACAGAGCUCACAGAACACCUUCUACACUAAACCCCCAAAAGACUACUCCCAGGAAUGUAAUUGCCAAAUUCCAAAGCUAUCAAACAAAAGAAAAAAUCCUACAGGAAGCCAGAAACUUGAAAGAUCCUUACCUCCCAAGACAUUUCUUCUGCUUCAUCUGAGGACUUGGCAAGUCCCACCCCUAACUCCUAUGGAGUCUGAGCCUUUCCAAGUUGGUGGAUUUCUGAAGAUGCAAUAUGGGAAUAGUGAUAGCAUGGACUCCUCUCUUGGCUGAUGACAUAAGAGAUGACAGAUUAGAAGUGAUAUGUAGAAACUGAAACUUAAAAGCAGUAUAUAACCUUCCUCUUCUGAUUGGUUGAAGAAAAACAUUUUGUAGAUAAAUAGGAUUGAAAAUGUGCUUUACUCUGAC